CGGCACAAUACUCCCGGGGGUUGGAGGUUUAGGUGCAACCGCAGGGCGGGGGAGGUAGUGGGUGCAAGCCACCAGCUGCAGGGUAGGAGAACGCUCGCAGGAGGACCGGUGCAAAUCUCCCCUCGGCCAGCUAACCCGUGCCGCCCCAGCCUCCCCUCAGGCCUCGGGGCGAGCGGACCCGCUGCAAAACUGCAGCCAAGCCCGGGUCCGGGAGGGAGGGGGCGAAAGGGCAGGAGCGGGGCACCCUCAGCACAAGCUGGCUGCCCGAGGAGCUCAGCGCCCGGGGCCUCCCAGCCGGAUGGAGGCUGCUCCGGCCUAGCGCACGCAGCUGCCUCGGCGAAGGGUUACGCCGGCCCCCGGAGCCCGGGCCGGCCCGGCGGGCGGCGGAGAGGAAGGGCUGCCGGGGGCGCCGCUGCGACGGUGGCGAGUGCGUGGGGGAAGGGGCCCUUACUCACCCGGGCCGGCCGCCUCCGCCUCCGCCGCCCCGGCCGCCGCCUCGGCGGUCCAUCCUUGCGGCGGGGGCCUGCAGCAGCGCCGCUCGAGUCACAACCGCCGGCUGGGCCGGCCCCUCCCCCCUGCCCAACGUCUGUCCUCAGGGCCGCUCCUCAAGACCCGGCCUCGGCCGCUGCCGCUGCCGCCGCCGCCGCAGCGCUACGUGGCCGCCGCUCCGACGUCUCGCGACUCCCUUCCCAGCGCGCGAGGGCGAGCGGGGCCGGCGGGGCGGGCAGCACGGGGCGGGCGGCAGGGGAGGGGGUGUGCGUGUGUGGAUGUGUGUGCCGGAGGGGGCAGGGAGGGAGGCGAGCGGCUGCGAGGGCGCGCGCGCGCGCCCGCGGCCCCUUCCCUCGCCGGCCCCCCCGCCCAACAGGGAUCCCGACACCUCCCUCCGCCCGCCCCCUCGGCAUCCCGGCCGCUGGGAGCGGCGGCGCGCAUGCGCAGCCCUCGGGCCGGCCCGGGCGCACCUUUUCUGCCUCCUGCCACAUUGUGAGCGCUCCGCCGCCCAGAUAA
rnacentral:lncRNA from 1 species